UCUAAGUCCAUAACUUAUACGAGAAAAAUUGAUCGAACGCAUAUAGCAUAAUUUUUGUUUCGUUUAUUAUGACCAUUGUUCGGAUCGGAUGACAUUAAUUCGAACUUUGUUAUUGCGAUUCUGUGCCAUUAAAUAUUAUAACCAUUCAUAAACAUUACAUAACUCUGAGAAAUUACUUCAGUUGAUGAUUGUUUGUUAAUCCUCAAGCUGGGCUUUUUGUGUACAGACACACAAACGAAAUUUGUCGCCUCUCGAAUGCAAAGGAUUAAAAAGUUCCUAUCUAUACUAUUCAAUCGUUUAUACGGGACAAUUAGAAAUCUAUCGACAAUUUUGAUUUUACUUUUUAUACGGGUUAAUUAAAACGAUUUACAUUGAAUACAUCGUGUCUUCCGACUCGUGAUUCAGCGAAUUUGAACUUUUUUUUAUCAUUUCCAUCGAUUUUUCUUUUAUAGUUUUCUGUAAAAGUAAUACACAGAUUUCUAUGUUUUUUUAAUAAUUUUUUUUUCUUAUUAUAUUAUACAAGCAUUCCAGUGUGUUUUCGUUUAUCACGUGACUAAAUAAAGGAAAAUGACGUCUAAUAUUUCCUAUAUUAAUUUACGAUCUAUACUACGUUAAUUUCGAAUAGGUUGUUCUAUUUUUAGGUUGUCUCUUUAAUAAAUUAUUUAUCUUCAAAUUUAUUUGAUUAUUAAAGUAAAUUUUUGAAAUUGAUCAUAAAAAUGUCUUCGUUUACAACAAUCUGCUCACAUUACGUCACUUUCGAACAACUCAAACUGGGGGCUUGAAAGCUUUUUCGAAAGUGGAAAGAAAUUUUGAUCACCUUAUUUUCAUAAUAAAUUAUUUUUUUAAUUAUGUUAAUAGUGAUUAUAGCCAUAAUUUCUAAGAAAACUACAAAUUUACGCUGUGUACGAAGCUCGAAUGCUUUGUGAAAUAGCCAGAUAUAAGAUCGACUAAAUUUGUAAUGAUUUAUAUGUAAUAAUUUAACGUGUAAAUUAUUGGAUAGCAGAGUUUGGCUGUCUUGUUGUAUCCUUGUAACUAUAUAAGUAUGUAAUUUGUAAGAAUGUACUUAAUGUGUAUAUGAAACAUAUCAAAAAUUGUAAAAUCUCUAAGUAAUACACUUAUUACUUACGAAUCCUUCAACUAUGCAUUCCCUUUCCAUUUUAUAUUAGAACGAAACCGACGAAAUCCAUAACGACAGCAAUUGAUUUAUAUGACGGCACUACUGUAUUGAUAUAAUACAACAAAUUUAUUUUCACAUAGUAUGUCGUUAUAAUAUGUAUAUAUAAUCUGGACAUUAAAAUUAAGAUACACGAAGGAAAAUCAUCCCUAAACGUGUCACAUCCGAUCUCAUAAUUACAAUGCUCUCUCUCUCGUUCUCGCUUUCUGUAUCACUCUGUUCCUAAUCGAUAGAAAAUAAUAACGAAAUCGCGUUAUUCUCAACAAAUUCUAUAUCCAUAAAAUGCAAAUGUGAAAUUCGAGGAAAGAAGAGUGUUCGUCGAGUUCGUUACUAAACAAAUAAAAUAAAAAAAAAAAAAGAAAAGAAAAUAGACCAAACUCGAGCGGUAAAAGUGUUGAGUGCUUGUGUUCGUGUGUACGUGUGUACGUGUACGUGUGUGAAAAGUUUCGCGUGUACAACAGCGUGUCUCGUCGGACAGGACAGGAAACGAAUUCAGUCGUAACAGCUAGCUUUUGUUUUUUGUUUUUUUUUUUUUUCGUUUACAGCACAUACAUCCAUUAUACGUAAAUGGUUCGUAGCUUAGUAUGGUUUCUCUAUUCUUGUAUAGCAACGCUAGAGCUUCCUCGAUUUAACAAACGGAACGCGUUCUUCAAUCUGCCGCCGAUGCGCCAUUCAUACUCGUAAACACCGGAUGUCGAAGAUGAACGACUGAGCCCGUGCAUCAUUGGCAGGUUGUGACCAAUGGAGGGCGAGACCUGUUCAAUCAUCCGGAAAUGAACGGUCUCGCCCGCGAUGAAUCUCUAUUACUGGCAAAAGAAAACGUUUUCCCCCAUAAUGGAGAGGACUCACGAAGUUAACUAGAGGUGCACAGGAGCCGUUACUCUACGAAGCGUCCGAUAACGCAAAAUCAAACGUGUCAAACGCAUCUUACUCCCAAUUUUAAGAAAUUCUUCUCAUUCUUGUUCGCGCAUCUAAUACAUCCAAUCCCUCCUGUCGGUCAUAUCGAAACGCACGCGACACGUUUACCUAGGUGUUCGGGUCCUAGCGUAUCCUAACGUAUGCGAUCAUUCGAAUGCGAUCGGCAUGCAACGGUAACUCGUUCCACCAUCCUUGCCGUUCGAAUAACGAUUUCGUUUAUCUCCUACAUUUACAGUAUUAUGUACAACUGUUUGGCACCGAAAUUGUCUCUUAAUCGAAUGAUGCCAACGAAGGGUCCAAAAUAUGAACACGAUCCACGAUGUUCCCCGGCCACGACGAUCCAACUAGCGUCGAUCCUCGAUUUCUUCGAUGCCACCUUUCGUUCGUGCGAAGGUGUCCUAUCUUGCGUUUGUAUACGAACGUCGCUGCUCGAGUGGUCGACGUUUCGUUUCGUCCCUUUUUGCGUCAGAACCGAGGUGUAUCGAGAGGUGUCCAAACAGCAUGAAAGUGUUAGCACGUUAGAAGUUCCUGUUUUUGGCAUAGUUUAGAAAUGUACAUGUCCGUAUGUCCUUUCACCACGUUACAGCGGAAUGUGUUUUGCAUACCGUGUGGCUCUUGCAAUACAUCCCUUCGUAUAGAAAGGGCGUUGCUAGAGCCGAAGAUUGAAGCAUUGCCAAGUCGUCUGCGAUGUAUUUUUUAUUAUUCCGUUUGCGUUACAUUUGUAUUCAUCGAGACGAGUUGGCGAAAUGCUUCGCUGACAAUGUUAACCCUUACUUAAACGCGUUACAUUUACUCGUCCUCGUAGAUAGUUUCUUUUUUUGUUUUCUCUCUUUUUAGUUUGUUCUCGUAACCUAUAAAAUGACUGACUGCCACUGGUAUUUGAUCUUUUUUGUUAUAAAUUCCAGACUGCCCAGCAGUCAGACGCACAACAGUUAUCACAACUUAAAACGGUAAUACUAAUACAUUACUCUUUUUUGUAAAUAUAUUAAUAUUUAAUCAUAAAUAUUAUAUAUUUAUUUAUAUAUAUAUAUAUAUAUAUUAUAUAUAUAUACAUAUAUUAAUAACAACUGAUCUUUUUUAUCGUGUCCACAAUACUUACUUGUGGAUUAGUAAAAUACCAUACGAAACGCCAUUGUACGAUUACGAUUCACGUCAUUCUCUCGUUCACGGGACCAAGUGACGGGCUACGGUAACGCAAAAUUGCGGAAGUAAAUGGGUUGUCAAAGCGGAUUAAACGGGAGGAAACGGUGCGAUCAAUGUUGCAAUGUUUGGUUAACGUUGUGUCCGCGGUUUGGUUCCCGUCUCUUUCUUCCUCUAUAAUACGUUAUAGUUCGGGUUUCUUUCACUUUGUUUCACUAUCGUUCUUUUCUUUGUUCGUUUUUUUUUUUUGUUACUAAAAAAAUAUCGAUCGAAGCUACGUACAAUGCUAUAUAAUGAUUAUUAACAUUUAAAAAUGAGAUCUAUUUUUCAUCCUAGCAACUCGGGAAGGGAACAUUAAAGAUUACUCGAGUUCAUUAUUGAAAUGUCCAUAAACGAGUUGUUUCAUCCUGCGGUGUUCUUUUCCUUUUAGUUGUUCGAUCUUAUCGUGCGUACGUCAUGGAUUCUUUAUCCUGGCUAUCCUGGAAGGAGCUCCCGGUGUGUUGUUGGUCUUCGUUAUGAGCGGAGAUAACUCCCGUGUUCCUUGUGCCUACGUAAUAAGUUCGUAACGGAGCAUCGCGACCAUUGAGAUCGCGACUCGACGCUCAGACAGACGAAUUUCGAGGCCGAUUUCAUUUGUUGCGCGCGAUAGCGUUGCGAUGUUUCUCGCGUAAACACGUGGUACUUGUGACGUGACAUCCUGGAUCCGCUUGCACCGGAAACGUUCUGUCACUCAGAAGAUUUCUGGUUCCGGUUCGCUCGAGGGCGCGGCCUGAAGGGCCAGCUGCAUGCUGGACUCUGUAUUACGCCGUUUCAUUUUACCCUUGGUCUUCUUCAGCAUCGUGGCCUAGGAAGGGACAGGGUCACAGGGGGCGCACAAAGGAGCAAUUUGAGAAAAUGUCAAUGCCAGUGACCAUGUAAACAGCAAUACCUCGACACUUCUUACACAGCCAGAACUUACGGACAAGAGGAUGAUCGUAUAUCAACAGAAGUAGAAACAAAGUUAUUUAGCACUCCAAGGACAUCUGCCACGACCUUCCACAACGCUUCAAGACGAAUUUUAGGUUCGAUGUUCUUGAUGGUCAAGAUUUGUAAAAUGUCAGGUACACUUUUAAUUCACUUAAGCGUGAUAUUUAAGGGAUGCAAAUUUCGACAAAUUUUUAUUAUAAUGAUUGGUGUCAUAGUUUGCUUGUAUGGAAGUUUGAUCUCCAAAUUCGCAGAGUCCUUGAAGUGUUAAUGCCUCAAGCUGAAAAA